UACGUAGGGACCGAGCGUUGUCCGGAAUCAUUGGGCGUAAAGAGCGUGUAGGCGGCUAUUUAAGUCCUGCGUGAAAUCCUGCGGCUCAACCGCAGACGGUCGUGGGAAACUGGAUGGCUAGAGUGCGGGAGAGGAGAGUGGAAUUCCCGGUGUAGCGGUGAAAUGCGCAGAUAUCGGGAGGAACACCAAUGGCGAAGGCAGCUCGCUGGGACGUAACUGACGCUGAGACGCGAAAGCGUGGGGAGCAAACAGG
rnacentral:rRNA from 1 species